AUGAUCGUGAUAGACUUUAAUUAUUUGGCAAUUUUUAUCUUAUGUAGCAACUUAGUUAUAAUUUUUAAUAAUUUUAAUUUUAUACGAUAUAGAAGAUAUAAUUAUCUGUUACAAAGUUUUUUCCUUAAAUAAUCACAAUCCAAAAUUUAAAGAGAUAGUGUAUCACCACCGCUCACCAAUAACUAAGAAAGAGAAUAAUAAUUUUCAAUGAGAGUAUCAGCUAAUUUAAAACCUUUAAAACUAUGGUCUGUGGCCCUCGCUCGUUUACUAUAAAUACAGCAACAUAGAAGAAUGGGACGAAAUAGCUGCUGUCGUUGAGAAAUGCCCGAUUAAAAUUAUGAGUAUAACGGACAACAAUUACUUGAAGUUUGGUUUUAACGUCAGUGUCUUCUGUAGUAACAACGAAAUAACAAAAGAAUAUUAGAGGCUAAACAAAGUAUUGAUUACAUAAAAAAAUCUGGGUAAUAGACUUCGCAAAACUAGCAAGUAAUAAGAAAUUUGUUAAGACCAUUAAAGGUUAUGGUGAGAUAAAUAUGUUCUUGUCGCUCUUAAAUCUUAAUCAAGUAUUGGCCAAAAAAAUAUAGUAGAAAAAUAUCUUUCUUUUUAAUAUGCUUUAUACAAAACGGAUCCCGAUUAGUAAGAACCCCAAUACAAAUAUGGAAUUUUGGGUGA
rnacentral:lncRNA from 1 species